rnacentral:rRNA from 1 species
GACGAACGCUGGCGGCGUGCCUAAUACAUGCAAGUUGAGCGAUGAAGAUUGGUGCUUGCACCCAUUUGAAGAGCAGCGAACGGGUGAGUAACGCGUGGUGCAUCUGCCUUUUAGCGGGGGACAACUUUUUGAAACGAAUGCUAAUACCGCAUAAUAACUUUAAACAUAAGUUUUAAGUUUGAAAGAUGCAAUUGCAUCACUCAAAGAUGAUCCCGCGUUGUAUUAGGUAGUUGGUGCGGUAAAGGCUCACCAAGGCGAAGAUACAUAGCCGACAUGAGAGGGAGAACGGACAAAUCGGGAAUGGAAAAAGGCCCAAAACCCUACGGUAGGCAGAAGUAGGGAAUCAUCGGGAAAGGACGGAAGUCUGACCGAACAAGGACGAGUGAGUGAAGAAGGUAUUGGGAUCGUAAAAGUCUGUUGGUAGAGAAGAACGUUGGUGAGAGUGGAAAGCUCAUCAAGUGACGGUAACUACAAAGAAAGGGACGGCUAACUACGUG